CAGCCGCGUUUCCGCCGGCAGCGAGCAUCCGGAGGAGGGUCCUGGUCGCGUGGCUCUCGUCUGCAGUCGACCUAGGCCACCUCCCGAAAUCCGCGGACAUCCACGCCGUCCCGAGCCGUUGGUCGCGGCACCCAGGCCAGGGGCUCCGGCUCUUGGAGGCCGUGACAGCCCUCCCUCGGCCGGCCUUUGGGGCUCCGCACCAGCCAGCGCCCCUCCUCUCCAGGGCCCUGAUGACACAGCCUGGUGCGCCCGCACUGUGGCCAGAGGGUGAGGCUGCCCCCCGGGAGGUCAUGUGACUGCUGUCCCAUGAAUGAGAAAUGUCCUCAGGGAGAUCCUGGAUUAUGAGAUCCCAGACUUGUUAGCAACAGAUUGAUCACAGUUGGCACAUGGAUAACAGAGAUGUUACUCAAGAUCACAGACGAUCUGCAGACCCCUUCCUGGAGUUAACUACUGUGCCGUGUUCUGUGCCCCGGGGCCUGCUACGAGUGCCUGUUCAUGGCUUGUCCCUUGCAGAUGGGUCUGCGGGUGCAGAGGUGCCAUGGGAGGUGGCAGUCAUCUUCAUGUCAGUCUCCAUAUCAGCCAGGCGCUAGACCAUGGGGUCCUGAGGUGUGUUCUGUAGGAGGCAGAAACCUGUGGCGCUGCCUUCACUUUGUAUACUCAGAAGAUGCAACGUGGUGCCCCUGGAAGGCACGUCUUAGCUGAGGCCAGCCUUAGAUCACAGACUGUUGAAGAAAGUCCCACGGCCAUGAACCAGUGACCCUCGGGAUGAUUUGGGAGCUGGGUUUCCUGAUAUUUCUCACCAAAAUUCUCUCGGUGUUUGUGGAGACCAGAGGGGCCGAGAAUUGAGAGGCAGGUCCCCACAUGAAGCCGCACCACAGCUCUCCCCUCUGCCUGCUCAGAGCAUCACGGACAGCUUCACUCUGCACAAGAGACCAGAGGGAAGCUGGGGGUCCACUUCAACCAGCUCUGCGUCUUGACAGCAGCACCCUUAGAGGGCCAGCCCGUGUCCCUCAGCCAUGCCCAGAAUGACUUUAGUAGCCAAGAAUUUUUCUCUUGAAUUUGUAGCUGCUCAUCACUUUCCUCCACCACCCAUUUAGUAAACCUGACCAGCGUGCUCUGUCUGCCUUUUAAAGCAGCAUCAAGCCACGUGCCAGCAAGGCUGGGCCUGGAGAAAGUGGGUCAUGAGCCAGAUCUCGUUUUCAGUCCUGGCGUGUUCUCACUCUCCUGAGGCGUGGCACGUGGGUAGUUGUUUGAAGUGUUCAGUUAGGACUAGGAGGUGAACAAGGGAUGGUACUUGGUUCAGAUUUAGGACCCAUGACAGUUGAGGUGUUGAGGAGCAGUCAGGCCAAGGCUUUGGAAGGGUGGCUGGUGACAGUGGACUAGAGAGACGGAUGCUGAUGUCAGAGAAAGUGGGGUGUCCUGGAGUUCUGGGGCUUGGCUCAUAAAAAAUUGCCUGCUGUGUGACCAACUGUCCAAGUUUGCCUGGGAUUGAGGGGUUUCCCAGGAUGAGGGACUUGAAUUGCUAAAACCAGGUAAGUCCCAGGCAAAUGGACGAGUUGGUCGACUUAUCUGGGGUGUAAAAUACAUGGUGUCAACUUGAGAGGACAGGUCACUAUGUAAAGGUGGGAGCAGGGUGAAUGGAGCAGCUGCUGUUGGACCCUGGUGUCGUGUCCUUGGGGUCAGACUUUUUGGAGAUCUUUGGUUUAAAAUAAAAAACUGCCACAAUGUGA